rnacentral:sRNA from 1 species
CCUCGUCAAUCUGCUGGGGGCAGAUGAAGUGGAUGUGGCAAUCAAUGCCGCCGGCCGUGAGGAUGAGCCCCUCCCCCGCCACCACUUCGGUGGUCACGCCCACCGUCAUGCCCGGCGUCACGCCCGGCAUAAUAUGCGGGUUGCCGGCCUUCCCAAUACCCGCAAUGCGCCCAUUCUUCACCCCGAUGUCGGCCUUGUAGAUACCGGUGUAGUCGAGCACGAGGGCGUUGGUGAUGAGCAGGUCCAGGGCCUCCGCCUGGGAAAUGCCGGCGGCCUGGCCCAUGCCGUCGCGCAG